rnacentral:misc_RNA from 1 species
CGCCAAGCCACCAUUGAUAGUACCAUGAGUGAGCUACGACAUGCCAUUACCAAUCUUUGUAUGUCAGAAAUUUUGAAUGAGUCUGAAAUGGCUGUCCUUCGAAUAGAGCAAUUCUGGCAAGAGGCCAAUAUGGACCCUGAUGUUCAAAGCAUGCUUUCAAAACCUCCUGUUAUUAAUGGAUUUGUAGAGAUCCUUUUCAAUUCAAUCGAUCCACAGGUGCUGAAAGCAACUAUUUUUCUCCUGUCUGAAUUAGGGUCAAGAGACAAAGGUGUGAUCCAGACACUUACACGAG